GCCUGGGUGGCUCAAUCGGUUGAGUGUCCGACUUCAGCUCAGGUCAUGAUCUCGCAGUUUGUGGGUUUGAACCCCGCAUCGGGCU
rfam:Felis catus isolate Cinnamon breed Abyssinian chromosome E1, whole genome shotgun sequence.